GUCUCCGUUGGUGAACCAGCGGAGGGAUCAUUAGCGAGUUAAUUACAAACUCCAAACCCAUGUGAACAUACCUACUGUUGCCUCGGCAGGCCGUGCUGCGCGGCUGGAUCGCCCACCCCCCGCGUGGGUAGCUACCCUGGAGUAGCUACCCUGUAGCGGGAGCGGCCCGCCCCGCGGCGCGCCAACAGGCCUGCCGAAGGACCCCUAAACUCUGUUUUGCACCUGUAUCUCUGAGUUUAUUAUACAAAUAAGUUAAAACUUUCAACAACGGAUCUCUUGGUUCUGGCAUCGAUGAAGAACGCAGCGAAAUGCGAUAAGUAAUGUGAAUUGCAGAAUUCAGUGAAUCAUCGAAUCUUUGAACGCACAUUGCGCCUAAUAGUAUUCUGUUAGGCAUGCCUGUUCGAGCGUCAUUUCAACCCCCAAGCCCUAUUUGCUUGACGUUGGGAGUUUACGGAGACGUAAUUCCUCAAAUAUAGCGGCGGAGCUAGGUCGUGCUCUAAGCGUAGUAACCAAAUUCUCGCUUCUGAAGCCGGCCCGGGUCCUGCCGUAAAACCCCCUAUA
rnacentral:rRNA from 1 species